rnacentral:rRNA from 1 species
AUCUGGGUCCACCUCCCACCCGUGUUUAUUUUACCUUGUUGCUUCGGCGGGCCCGCCUUAACUGGCCGCCGGGGGGCUUACGCCCCCGGGCCCGCGCCCGCCGAAGACACCCUCGAACUCUGUCUGAAGAUUGUAGUCUGAGUGAAAAUAUAAAUUAUUUAAAACUUUCAACAACGGAUCUCUUGGUUCCGGCAUCGAUGAAGAACGCAGCGAAAUGCGAUACGUAAUGUGAAUUGCAAAUUCAGUGAAUCAUCGAGUCUUUGAACGCACAUUGCGCCCCCUGGUAUUCCGGGGGGCAUGCCUGUCCGAGCGUCAUUGCUGCCCUCAAGCACGGCUUGUGUGUUGGGCCCCGUCCUCCGAUCCCGGGGGACGGGCCCGAAAGGCAGCGGCGGCACCGCGUCCGGUCCUCGAGCGUAUGGGGCUUUGUCACCCGCUCUGUAGGCCCGGCCGGCGCUUGCCGAUCAACCCAAAUUUUUAUCCGGGUUGACCUCG